AUCAACAGAAGUCCUUUCACAGCUCUCGAAGCUACCUCGAUGCACGACGCCUCCCCUUCAGUCCUCCGAUUCCCGUUUUCCGAAAGGAAUGUUCACCUGGACCUCUCGGCACUGGACUGGUAUUUCACGUUACUUCCAUCUUCUGAACCUGUAUCAGGUAUCAAGCUUGACGCGGAUGGAGUGCGUGAUCUCGUGCGUUCCUUCGGGGGCAGCGAGCCAGGCCUGUCGAGAGAAUGGGUCUCGGAACUUAACCCUAAGUAAUCUGUUGGUUUCUACUAAAGUUUUGCGCUCAUAGUCGUCCAAGUCGCCUUCUAAGUCCGACUCUAUUACCAGCAACGUCCGGCGCCGCUGAAAAGUGGUCUUGGAUCGAGCAGGGAACGAUGAAGACGGACCGGCGAUGAGGACAGUCCAGACAUCCUCGGAUGCGUGAGAGGUCCUUCACUAUGAGCCGGUACGGUAAGAGCCUCGCGCAGAGGUCGCUCGUCAGGAUUGUACCACUGGAACCCGUACUCUGGUCAUGAUGGACUGUUCUGGUGAUAUGGACUUCCAGUCUAACGUGGAAGAUACGCUUAGCGGGUGCUUGUCGUUGUGGGGUAUCAUGGUGGUGACGGCCUUCGUGGGCAACCUACGAGCUUGCAAGGGAGAGCGCAGUGUUGGCCACAAACGAUCAAGCCCCGAUCUUUCACUCCUGCCUAGGAUUCACCUCGUCGGAAUCACCAAAGUCUGUCAGCGGUGAGCGAGGAUCCUAUGGCUACACACGGAAAUGUCAUCUGGGCUUGAUACCUCCCACCCGCCUCACUGUUACGCUUUCGGCACCCUUGCUGCUCAUCCUUCCCGCCUCUCCACACACAAGCGAUACCGAAGUAUCUAAGACACCCAGACUGGCAGUCCGUUCUCAGCACCGUGCUCGGCAGAAGCCAUGGCACGUCAUGCACGCAUGUGGUCCGACCAGGCGCAUCAACCUGCCCUCGAACGGCUUGUCCUUUGAUGCGGCAGGACGCCAACCUCGUGCCUAGUGCUUCCGGGUGCUAGGUAUUGUUCCUUUGGUGCCCCUACUUCUAGGCCACACACGAAGAUGAUAGUGCGGUUUUUACGGAUAUUUUUGUUCGCGCGGUCUGCCCUCCUUAGCUGGUCGCUUGCGAUCCCGAUGGAGCGGACACAAAAAUUCGUCCAAGUUGGCAGUGCAAUCACACGGAAAGACUCCUUUGAUCCGGUCUCCUGGUCCUAGUUACGCUCAUUCUCGCUGGUUCGGCUUCUGGUGGUGUCGAUGAUUGCGGCUGUAUGUGGAAUGGAUCUGCUGAGAGUCCUGAUCUGGUCGGCUCCUGGGGAAAAGCUGCAGAGCGGCGGAAGCUGUGCCGGGACCCAUCUCGAGUUGGAGUCAGAGCUUCGUGCUCGUCUGGUGCAGGGGAUAUCCUCAGUUGCCUAUCUCCAGGGUUGCAAGUGACGGAGCUUGUUAAGAGGACAGGCUUCUUGGGAAGCGGUCCUGGCUGUCCCUUUCUCCAGCAAUGGUGGGAGGGCAGCCCCUCAUAUCGUGAGG
rnacentral:telomerase_RNA from 1 species